UACGGAGGGGGCUAGCGUUGUUCGGAAUUACUGGGCGUAAAGCGCACGUAGGCGGCUUUGUAAGUUAGAGGUGAAAGCCCGGGGCUCAACUCCGGAAUUGCCUUUAAGACUGCAUCGCUAGAAUUGUGGAGAGGUAAGUGGAAUUCCGAGUGUAGAGGUGAAAUUCGUAGAUAUUCGGAAGAACACCAGUGGCGAAGGCGACUAGCUGGGCCGUAACUGACGCGUGAGGAAACGAAAGCC
rnacentral:rRNA from 1 species